rnacentral:rRNA from 1 species
GUGCCAGCCGCCGCGGUAAUACGUAGGUGGCAAGCGUUGUCCGGAAUUAUUGGGCGUAAAGCGCGCGCAGGCGGUUUCUUAAGUCUGAUGUGAAAUCCCCCGGCUUAACCGGGGAGGGUCAUUGGAAACUGGGUGACUUGAGUGCAGAAGAGGAAAGUGGAAUUCCAAGUGUAGCGGUGAAAUGCGUAGAGAUUAGGAAGAAUACCAGUGGCGAAGGCGACUUUCUGGUCUGCAACUGACGCUGAGGCACGAAAGCAUGGGGAGCAAACAGGAUUAGAUACCCUGGUAGUCCACGCCGUAAACGAUGAGUGCUAGGUGUAAGGGGGUUUGCGCCCCUUAGUGCUGCAGCUAACGCAAUAAGUACUCCGCCUGGGGAGUACGAUCGCAAGGUUGAAACUCAAAGGAAUUGACGG